rnacentral:lncRNA from 12 species
CAUUGUUGGAUGCUGGGGCCUAUAGCUGAGCACUGCAUUUUCUUGAUGACUUCAGACAUAGGCGCUUGACCUUGUUUAUAGUUACUCCUUUAAAUUUCUGGCUCUAAUCCUCAAGAGAUAGGAGCAGAAAGGAAUGAAUAAUGACGAAGAGUCCACAUCUCUAAAGCGGCAGGUAGAGCUUGGAGGCCAUGGUACCUUGAAGCUGCGAUGAAUAUCUAGUCCCUGUAUAUGAAUGUGUUCAUGACAUCUCCCAUUAUAUCUCCAAACACUGGGGACUCGAGCAGGCAUGGGAAAGAGGAGCAAAAUCAAGGAAAGAGCAAUUAUGGUAUUGAGUUAGUCCAAUAAGCAGACAUGCACAUGCAUGUGUAAACAUUGUGGACCUGCUAUUUAUCCAGACCGUUAUCAAAGGAGCAUGAAACUGUGGAGUGGAGAUACCCCUUUGGACCUUCCUACUGCCUUUUCAUUCCUCAACAGAAAGAUUCCACGGAGAUAAUGUAGGGAGCUGCUGUGAACCAGAGCUGAGCUCCUGCACUUAGUCAUGUGUGAUUCAGAAACAAUUCUCUGGUAAGUAGAGCAUCUUGUUUGUAAUAUUUUUGAAUAUAAUUU